rnacentral:rRNA from 1 species
AUUGAACGCCGGCGGCAUGCCUUACACAUGCAAGUCGAACGGUAACAGGUUAAGCUGACGAGUGGCGAACGGGUGAGUAAUACAUCGGAACGUGCCCAGUAGUGGGGGAUAGCCCGGCGAAAGCCGGAUUAAUACCGCAUACGACCUAAGGGUGAAAGGGGGGGAUCGCAAGACCUCUCGCUAUUGGAGCGGCCGAUGUCAGAUUAGCUAGUUGGUGGGGUAAAAGCUCACCAAGGCGACGAUCUGUAGCUGGUCUGAGAGGACGACCAGCCACACUGGGACUGAGACACGGCCCAGACUCCUACGGGAGGCAGCAGUGGGGAAUUUUGGACAAUGGGCGCAGGCCUGAUCCAGCCAUGCCGCGUGCGGGAAGAAGGCCUUCGGGUUGUAAACCGCUUUUGUCAGGGAAGAAAUCCUUUGGGUUAAUACCUCGGGGGGAUGACGGUACCUGAAGAAUAAGCACCGGCUAACUACGUG